AAUGAACGCUGGCGGCAGGCCUAACACAUGCAAGUCGAACGGAUCCUUCGGGAUUAGUGGCGGACGGGUGAGUAACGCGUGGGAACAUACCCUUUGGUACGGAAUAGCCUCGGGAAACUGGGAGUAAUACCGUAUGUGGUCGAGAGACGAAAGAUUUAUCGCCAAAGGAUUGGCCCGCGUUGGAUUAGGUAGUUGGUGGGGUAAUGGCCUACCAAGCCGACGAUCCAUAGCUGGUUUGAGAGGAUGAUCAGCCACACUGGGACUGAGACACGGCCCAGACCCAUACGGGAGGCAGCAGUGGAGAAUCUUAGACAAUGGGGGAAACCCUGAUCUAGCCAUGCCGCGUGAUCGAUGAAGGCCUUAGGGUUGUAAAGAUCUUUCAGGUGGGAAGAUAAUGACUGUACCACCAGAAGAAGCCCCGGCUAACUCCGUGCCAGCCGCCGCGGUAACAC
rnacentral:rRNA from 1 species